rnacentral:rRNA from 1 species
GAUGAACGCUAGCGGCAGGCCUAAUACAUGCAAGUCGAGGGGAAGAGGAAGCUUGCUUUCUUGAGACCGGCGCACGGGUGCGUAACGCGUAUGCAACCUACCUUUAUCAGGGGGAUAGCCCGGAGAAAUCCGGAUUAACACCGCAUAAAAUCACAGAACAGCAUUGUUUCAUGAUCAAAUAUUUAUAGGAUAAAGAUGGGCAUGCGUGCCAUUAGCUAGUUGGCGGGGUAACGGCCCACCAAGGCGACGAUGGCUAGGGGCUCUGAGAGGAGAAUCCCCCACACUGGUACUGAGACACGGACCAGACUCCUACGGGAGGCAGCAGUAAGGAAUAUUGGUCAAUGGGGGCAACCCUGAACCAGCCAUGCCGCGUGCAGGAAGACUGCCCUAUGGGUUGUAAACUGCUUUUGUACGGGAAUAACCACUGGUAUGUAUACCAGCCUGUAUGUACCGUAAGAAUAAGGAUCGGCUAACUCCGUGCCAGCAGCCGCAGUAAUAC